AAUAUUUUUCUUAAAAUUUUAUACUGUAAUAGAAAAGCAAUUCUGGGCGAGUUUAAAUAGCCUUUUCCUUAUGUCUGUAAUUAAUCUCAAGAAAUUGUGAUGCUUUUAAAGUACUGGGCAGUAUAACUUAUAAGGAAGAAUGAUGAUAACUUCAAGUCGAACAUUUGCUUCCUUGUUGGUACAUUGUACGAAUUAAACAAGGUUUUGAUUAAGUUAAACAGGGAUUACACUGUGUUCCAAAAUGAUUCCUUUAUUUAAUUACAUUGACUUGGACAAAAUUAAUUAUAUAUCACCAUGCUCAUUUUACUAAUCUGGUCACAAUAAAAAUACCUGAAGCAAUGAUUCCAACAAAGUGAAAAAAAAAACUGUCGGCUGUUUUGGUCCUUCUCCCGCAUAUAUGUACGAAGCAAAGAAUACUAUAUAAUAUACUAUACAUCCUUUGGAGUUGGAGUUUUAAAUUGUCCCAAAAGGGGCAGUAGCAGUGACGUCGGGGACGAUGGCGUAGGCGGCUAUCGGGCUAACUGCUAAAUUGGCAUUCCCCUGGUGACAAAUUUAUUGGAAUAAUUGUUCUUAGAGGCUGCGCUUGAAACAAAUGCAGUUGGGCGGAUGUUAAAGAUUUCGUAGAAUUUUGUUUAUGGUGUUGAACUUGCAACUUAGUUCAACAAAGUUGUAUAUAACUUGUAUAUUGUAGCGCUUGUGGCAAGACGAAUCGGGCGGCAGGCCAGAAAGGCGGUGGCUCCAUCUACAUGUCGUUCCCGCGUCGAAACAAGGGGCAGACGAAGAAAGUCGUGGGAGAGCUUUAGCAUAGGAAGAGGCAACAUAGGCAGCUGUCAAAUUUCGGCAAAUACCGUAGGUUUGGCUGGAGAGAGCGGAGAUAGCUUCCCAGCUAGAUCAACUCGACGCCAGCUUUCUUUUCCAAUUUGGCUGUCCACAAGGUUAGUUCAAAGUUAAACGGAACCAGGAGCAGGCAUAUACGGGAAAACUGGCGAAAGAAUCUUAUAAAGGAAUACAUCUACAGGCAGCGCUGAAUCCAGUUUCAGGGUUUGGCGCUAAAUAUAUAGCGCAAGUGCGAGCCAAACGGACGGCUUAACAUCGAGCCAGGUGGCAGACAUUUUCCUCGGAGAACGACGGAUCGCUCAGCCCAGGGAGAAACGAAACGGCGGCUCGAAACUCCCGUAGCGAGGAGCUGCAUUUAGCUGAUUACUAAUUAAUAACCUUUGAAUUAGGCCUCUGAAUGGCAGAAAAGGGUUGCAAGCAGGCAUAGAUACGUCCCAAUUAGGAAUCGCGGCAGCACACAAUUUCUUUUCCAUUUCGGCGGACUCUUAUUUUUGGUUAAUUACUCUUAGAGAGCCAUCGAUGACGUAGAAAUCUCCACGUUCCAUUUUGUCGCCAUGUUCCCCUUGCGCACUUAAAGAAGGGAACGAGAAGAGGAGGAACGAAAAGGAGAGGGGAGAAUAACCAAGUCCAGCAGUUGCAAUCGCGGUUUCUUGUUCGGCGGGCGAGCAAAAGUUUUGUCGCGCGGUCUGGCCGUAAUUUGGUGAAUCCGACCAGAGGAAAAUCCGCUGAUCGACGGCGCGGGAAAAACCCCCUUAGUGAGCGAGAAGGCCGGAAAAUAGUGGAGAGAUUUUUUUUGUAUAGCGGAAUAAGUUAUUAUGUAAAUGAAAAGUGGCAGUGCGAAGGAGAGAGGGAAAGACAAGGAAAAGAGUCCAUCAUUUUUUUUAGUGUCCCUUAUGUGCUCCGUCUUCUUCUUCCUUUUUUUGUUUCUUUUGUUCAGUUUUAGCAAGCCUAUGAUUAAGCAAUAAGGCACAGUGGGUCAAAGACCAAUACAGAGAGUGAAAAAAUAUUUAAGUUUCCCACAGGUGCGGCAGACUCCAACGGAAGCGCUUUCGUCGGUGGAACUCCGGAUUGUUGGUGAGUGAUUAAAUCACGUAAUUGCAAUGGCAAUGAUCAAUGAGGUAUACAUAAUUUGGUGAAAAAGAAAGAAAGUAAUUACGUCUGAAUUUUCGAUUCCUUGUCCCACUGUCCGCCGCGAGCGAAAUUAGGUCGAAGUUUUAGAGCCUCUGAAGAAAAGGAAGAGGAGGAAUGCGAAUUCAAGGCCAAGGCCAAGAGUGGAAUGUCGGAAUUAGAAUCUGAUUUUUUUCUGUUUGUCCGUCUCUCUUUAACUCUCGCACAUAUGUAUGUUGUUUUUGCCACCAGAGCAGCAAUCGCUCUCUUUAUUUGAUUUGUUUAAUUUUAAUAUUCUUAAGUUCCAUUUGGGUGCCUAUGGCACACUCGAAAUUAGUGGAGAUCUAAAUAUCGAAAUUUUCUCUAUUAUUCGACUCGCAUACAAUUCUGAUAGUUAUUUAAGGUCCCACAUUUUUUCUCGCAUGCGAUUUUUACUCAUUUUUGUUUACGUUUUGUUACUGGCGCAUGCACUUGUUGCUAGCCUCCAUGCUGAAUUACCCAUUUGUUAGCUGUAAGAAAAUUCUCUUAGUGUGUUACGAAUAAAAUUUAUAAUGUGCUAGAAAGCUUUUCGUUUGCCUAUGGCUAGGAUAACUCCCGUGUGAAUAUGUGUUAGUGAUCUUAAAAGGGGCCGUCCGAGUAUAUUGUGCAAUGCAGAUUUUUGGAGAAAGGCGGCCAAGGCAGGGCGGGCAUUAGCGACCUCGAGGCCAUCAGAGGAUCGCAAGGAAGAUGGGGAAAAGUAGUUGUCGUCCGAUUUUCUGUUUUAUGUUGAACUCUUUCAGCCCUCAACCAAUUCUUGUCGCUGCACGCGAAGUUAUUUGAAUAUUUAGAGGAAGAUCAGGCUGAGGUAUAGGGACAAGACCACCACCCCAAAUAGCCGACAAGGAGCAGCUGGACCAUUGCGCGUGCGUCCCAAAUACCUCCCAUCACCACCCAAGCCGAGUAGCAAUCCGUUACAGUAAUAAUUAUCUUUCUAAAUAAACUGGCGCCCAACGUGGGGCCCGAAAGUCGUUUUCACUAGUCGAAAAACAUUGGUAUCAACACCAAAACACCAACACAUGCAGAAAAUUCGUCUAUUCAUCAUUUUCUUAAAUUUUUGGGAGGACAGUAGGAUCACGGUGGGCUGAAACUGGUGUUGACCUUUCAGCCAACGGUUGCCGCGACACUCACCUCAAAUCUAUUUCUCGUCUCAGUUUAAGCGCGUUAUUAGGUGCAUAGGAUCUAUAGCCUGUUAACUUGUCCGCAAGCUCAGAGCUAGCCACGCCUGAUAAAGUGGGUAAAAUAGAGACAAAUCUUUCUCUUUAAUUUCUUUCCGGGAUUUGCAGCAAAGAUUAAUUAGGCGCGUUGGACUGACAGGCGAUAGAGUUAUAAGUAACUCAACUCCUGGCCACGGAUAAUUAGUCUGAGCUAUGGACUCCAAUUUGUUUACGGUCGAACGGCGUCGCGUUUGUGAGGUGAAUAGGAGUCACAGUUGGUUUUUCUUUUAAAAGAAAGCUACUGGCCACGCUUCACAACGAAAACGAUGUACCGAUUCGCCAAAGUAGGGUAUAUUUCUGCUAAUUGAAUCUGAGUUUGGCUGGCAAUAUAUUUGUUGUCGUUAUCGCAGUUUAGCAAAACAUAGCCAAUUAACUCUGCAUAAGCAGCAAAUUUCUAAUCUCUUUUCAGCUAUCUUUUACCCAAUCUUCCGAAAGUUGCUAACAUUAUUUUUGCGGGGAGCAAACCUAUGCCAAAAGGCAAAUUUUAUUUAUGAUAUAUCAAAUCUCGUUUUAUCGCUCAAAAAUCUUUUAAAUACUUUAUAUCUGUUUAAUCUUUUAAUAUUAUUAGGGAUAAAAUAUCCAAAUUAAAAGCAAUCUUUAUCUUAGUCUUUAUUAUAAUAUUUCUUAAGCCCAAACUAAAGUAUUUUUUUUACUGGAAGCAAUGGCCGAUUCCGAGGGAGCAGCCGCAACAAGGUGUCCCCUAUGUGAAGUUAGUUUAGAAGGUGGGAAAAUUUACCGAACCAAAUGUGGACACGAGUUCCAUCAGUCUUGCAUAGUAGCACAUUCAAAAAAUAAAACUACCUGUCCCACGUGCAACACGGUGUGUUUUGAAAAAGCGGCCACACCAUCUCAGAACACCAGAGGUCAGAAAACACAAGUUUUAGUAGCAAGCGAGCAGACUCCGAGUGGCUCUUCAAACUCAGCAGGGUUGGGAAAGGCUCAAACAGAGUUGAUCCAAAGCGCGGUGGUCAACGCUGUCCAGUCCAUGCAAAACGAUUUGCUCGUGCAGUUGUCGAAAAAAAUGUCCGAAUUAAUUCAGGCAAAUCUAUCUGCCCAAUUUCAGGCCACUGCGGGCGAGAGUCAAGAAAGGGAUUUGAGAAAUAAUUCUUUUGGGGAUAUAGUAUUGGACCAGUUGGGUGGCCAAGCAGGCUCGAGACGCGAAACGCCAAGGAGCAACCAUUCGGACCUCAGCCAAAGGCCAGAUAAGGUUGGCCAUAUCGUAAACAGUUGGAAGCUUCGGUUUAGUGGGAAUCCGGAAGGAAUUAGUGUCGACAAUUUUAUUUAUCGGGUAGAGGCGCUGACUGGCCAAACUUUGGAUGGUAAUUUCUCAGUACUAAGCAGCAACGCUAGCCUUUUGUUCGAAGGGAAAGCGCGAGAUUUCUACUGGAGAUGCCACAAACAAACCCAGAAUCUCAGAUGGGAAUCUUUGUGUAUGGCGUUGCGGAAGCAAUUCAGAGAUGCACGCACUGAUCUGGAUAUCCGUGAAGCUAUUCGUGAUCGGAAGCAGCGGGAUAAGGAAGGCUUCGAUUCUUUUUGCAGUGCUAUAGAGGAUAUGGGUGAUAGCUUGGAUAUGCCGUUAACCGAGAUGGAAAUGGUUGAGAUAUUAAAAAGAAAUUUAAGGCCAGAAAUUCGACAUGAACUUCUUAAUCUCCCCAUCCGCACAGUGGAAAAACUGAGGGAAGUAUGCCGGCGUAGGGAAAGCUUUUUAGAAGACGUACGGAAAUCCCAAGGGUAUCAGAAGGCUGUUCCAUACCGAAAACAAGUUUGUGAGCUGUUGGAAGAGCAAUUGUCCGAUAAUGCGUCCGAGUUUUCCGAGGCGGAGGGCGAAGCAGAAAUUGGAGCUAUGGCUUUGCUCUGCUGGAAUUGCCACAAGGAGGGUCAUCGCUACCACGACUGUGAAGCGAAGCGCAAAAUAUUUUGUUAUGGUUGUGGGAAACCAAAUACGUACAAACCUUCGUGCCCUAAAUGUCAAAAAAACUCGAAAGGGAACACACAACCGAGGCCAUCGUUGUGUGUUCGACGCCAACGCUCGUCGAGCCCAAAAUCAAACCCAUAGAUUGUUCCAAUGCAGCUGCACAAUCCAGUUCAACGAUGGUGUGGCCAAGUUUAGUAGAUUUAAGUUCAAAUUCCCCAAAUAUGCAGCCGUAUCUAGAGCGUCAAAAGUCUCAUUCAAGGAAUGCUCAGCGCAUGAGAAAUUACUGGGCAGCCCUCAAAUCAAUUAAUGCAAUCAGGUUCAAAGAUAAGGAUAAACGCCCAUAUGCCGAGGUGCGAGUUUUAGAUCGCAUCGUCUUGGGUUUAUUGGAUACAGGAGCAGCAGUAAGCGUAAUAGGUGGUAGUUUAGCACAGCAGAUAAUUAGUAAUCGAGUAUCUUUUAAGCGCGGAUUAUUUUCGAUAAGUACUGCAGAUGGGAAAAAGCAGGAAGUGUUAGGACGAAUAAAUACUCCGGUCCGAUAUAAAACUCAGGAAAGAAAUCUUGAGCUUCACCUAGCACCAUCUCUUAGCCAAGAUUUAAUUUUAGGCAUUGACUUUUGGUCUAAAUUCGAUUUACUGCCGCCAGAGAUGCAAGUUUCUGAAAUAGAAUCUACAACACAUGAUCUUACUGUUUUGCAGCGCGAGAGUUUACAAAAAGUCAUAGGCAAGUUUCCAUCUUUUGCUGAAGUCGGUUUAGGUAGAACUUCUAUUCUCUCGCAUUCAAUUGAUGUGGGGGAUGCCAAGCCGGUAAAGCAACGGCAUUUUCCGGUCUCACCGGCUGUAGAAAAACUCCUGUACGCAGAGGUGGAUCGCAUGCUAAAGCUCGGGGUCAUUGAGGAGUCCGACAGUGCUUCGUCCUCCCCAGUAGUUUUAGUGCAAAAGCCCGGAAAGGUUCGGCUUUGCCUGGACAGUAGAAAGGUCAAUGCGGUGACCAAAAAGGAUGCUUAUCCGCUCCCGCAGAUAGAUGGAAUUUUGGGUCGACUUCCAAAGGCUAUGUACAUAUCCAGCCUAGACCUUAAAGAUGCCUAUUGGCAAGUACCGCUCGACCCAGAUUCUCGCGAAAAGACGGCAUUUACAAUACCUGGAAAGCCACUUUAUCAAUACAAAGUUAUGCCCUUCGGACUGACCAAUGCUUCGCAAACAAUGACGCGACUAAUGGACAAAGUCAUUCCAGCGGAAUUGCGAAAUGAGGUUUUUGUCUAUUUGGACGAUUUAUUGAUCGUGUCGGACAGCUUUGAAUCGCAUUUGAAGGUAUUAGAGGUUGUUGCAGGGCAUGUAAAGGCGGCUGGACUCACGUUGAACGUAGAAAAGAGUAAAUUCUGCAUGCGCUCCGUGAGGUAUCUUGGACAUAUUGUCGGAGAAGGGGUCAUAAAAACCGAUCCCGACAAAGUAUCAGCCAUGACCGAUUUCCCUCUGCCAAACUCUCUUAAAAGUCUCCGGAGAUUCUUGGGCAUGGUCGGCUGGUACAGAAAAUUUAUCCAGAAUUUUGCGUCAGUAGCUUCGCCUCUGACCGAUUUGUUGAAGCCAAGACAGAAAUUCGUUAUGACCGCGGAAGGAAGGCAGGCAUUCGAGCAGUUAAAAACAAUGUUAUGUUCAGCUCCGGUUCUGCGCAGUCCGGAUUUCGAAAAACCUUUCUUUGUGCAGUGUGACGCAAGUAAGACUGGUGUCGGCGGAGUCUUGGUGCAGAAAACUUCCGAUGGCGACGAAUAUCCGAUAGCGUUCGUAUCCAAGAAGCUAAAUAAAGCUCAACGCAAUUACUCUGUGACAGAGCAGGAGUGUUUGGCGGCGAUAGUCUGUAUUAACAGGUUCAGGGCUUAUGUGGAAGGCCACGAGUUUACGGUCAUUACAGACCAUGCCUCCCUCAAAUGGCUGAUGUCUCAGCCGGACUUACACUCGCGGUUGGCUCGUUGGGCUCUGAAGUUGCAGCGGUUUAACUUUAAAAUCGAGCAUCGCAGUGGCAAACUAAAUGUCGUGCCAGAUGCACUUUCCAGAGUAAAUGAGGAGGUCGAGGCAUUGGAAGGUAAUAGUGGUUCUCUGGUCGAUUUGGACUCAGAGGUGUUUAAGUCAGCAGAAUAUGUGCAUUUUGUAGAUCGGCUCAAAGCAAAUUUGGAUAAAUUACCCGAUAUAAAAGUAGUCGAUGGCUUGGCGUAUAAGAAAACAGAGCAUGCUACGGGGGAUUCCCUGAACGAUCAGUUCAUCUGGAAGUUGUGGAUUCCGAAGGAUUUGGUCCAGGAUGUUUUAAAGAAUGCCCACGAUCAUCCUAUGGCUUCACACGGGGGAAUUCACAAAACGCUAGAGCGAGUUCGGAGGCAUUGUUAUUGGCCUGGGUUAAUAAAAGACGUAAAAUCAUAUGUUCUAGCUUGUGAUACCUGCAAGAUGACAAAAGCUCCUAACACAGUUCAGAGACCGCCAAUAGGGGUUCCUCCAGAGUCGGAAAGAUUCUUCCAAAGAUUAUAUAUAGAUUUCUUGGGCCCGUAUCCCCGCUCUAGAAGCGGGAAUAUUGGAAUUUUCAUCGUUUUAGACCAUUACUCAAAGUUCGUUUUUCUCAAGGCAGUCAAAAAGCUGUCAGCCGAGGUGGUUAUAAAAUACCUGCAACAGGAACUAUUUCACACGUAUGGGGUGCCGGAGACGAUUAUUUCAGACAACGGUUCACAGUUUAAGUCAGACCUAUUCCAGAAGUUUAUGCGUGAGUACAGAGUCAGUCAUAUUCGCACAGCAGUGUAUUCCCCGCAAUCAAAUGCGUCUGAAAGGGUAAACAGAUCGGUGAUAGCGGCCAUAAGAUCCUAUGUUCGGCCUGAUCAAAAAAACUGGGACGAAGAGCUAAGUAGUAUUUGUUGUGCUCUACGAUCGGCGGUUCAUUCCAGCUUGGGUACUACGCCCUAUUACAUGGUGUUCGGCCAGCAUUUUGUCGGAUCUGGGUCCACCUAUAAGUUGUUGAAAGUCUUGGGUUUGCUGCAAGACCAUUCGGCAGUGUUCUCAAGGGAAGAUUCCUUAGAGUUAGUGCGCAGCAAAGCUAUCGAGGUGAUGAAGAAGCAGAACGAAAAGAACGAACGAAAUUACAAUCUUCGGUCCAGAGAAGUUUCCUACAAAGUUGGCCAGGAAGUGUUCUACAAGAACCACAAGCAGAGUAAUUUCCAGGCAGGAUAUAAUGCCAAGUUAGGCCCCAGCUACCUCAAAGCCAUGGUGCGGAAAAAGCUAGGUAAUGCCUAUUACGAUAUAGAGGAUCUGCAGGGACAUUUGGUUGGACGAUACCAUGCCAAGGAUCUGAGGCAAUAAUUAAUUGCCCCAAGCUUGGUGUGAUCAGCCUUGGGAGUGUCACCCCCAAGUCCGAUCUUGUGGAGGGGGCAAUUUGUAGCGCUUGUGGCAAGACGAAUCGGGCGGCAGGCCAGAAAGGCGGUGGCUCCAUCUACAUGUCGUUCCCGCGUCGAAACAUGGGGCAGACGAAGAAAGUCGGGGGAGAGCUUUAGCAUAGGAAGAGGCAACAUAGGCAGCUGUCAAAUUUCGGCAAAUACCGUAGGUUUGGCUGGAGAGAGCGGAGAUAGCUUCCCAGCUAGAUCAACUCGACGCCAGCUUUCUUUUCCAAUUUGGCUGUCCACAAGGUUAGUUCAAAGUUAAACGGAACCAGGAGCAGGCAUAUACGGGAAAACUGGCGAAAGAAUCUUAUAAAGGAAUACAUCUACAGGCAGCGCUGAAUCCAGUUUCAGGGUUUGGCGCUAAAUAUAUAGCGCAAGUGCGAGCCAAACGGACGGCUUAACAUCGAGCCAGGUGGCAGACAUUUUCCUCGGAGAACGACGGAUCGCUCAGCCCAGGGAGAAACGAAACGGCGGCUCGAAACUCCCGUAGCGAGGAGCUGCAUUUAGCUGAUUACUAAUUAAUAACCUUUGAAUUAGGCCUCUGAAUGGCAGAAAAGGGUUGCAAGCAGGCAUAGAUACGUCCCAAUUAGGAAUCGCGGCAGCACACAAUUUCUUUUCCAUUUCGGCGGACUCUUAUUUUUGGUUAAUUACUCUUAGAGAGCCAUCGAUGACGUAGAAAUCUCCACGUUCCAUUUUGUCGCCAUGUUCCCCUUGCGCACUUAAAGAAGGGAACGAGAAGAGGAGGAACGAAAAGGAGAGGGGAGAAUAAACAAGUCCAGCAGUUGCAAUCGCGGUUUCUUGUUCGGCGGGCGAGCAAAAGUUUUGUCGCGCGGUCUGGCCGUAAUUUGGUGAAUCCGACCAGAGGAAAAUCCGCUGAUCGACGGCGCGGGAAAAACCCCCUUAGACUCACGAAACCAGUGGCAGAUUGUGUUUGCCAUGACCGCUGUUGUUUUUUUCAUUGGCAACCUGGUGUACCUAAUUUGGGGCACCACUGAUCAGCAGUCUUGGGAUGC